rnacentral:tRNA from 1 species
GGGCUCGUAGCGAAACGGUAUCGCGCCUGCAUGGCAUGCAGGAGACUGCGGGUUCGAAGCCCCCUUUGCCCAACCCCUAUAACGGUUUGAAAAUCCCGCCGAGUCCA